UCUCAGCUUCAUUCAUACCUCUUCGACCCAUUUGGGGAUUGGGUUUCUCUCAAACCCUAAUUUUUCUCUCUUUCUGAUCUCAUCUCUCUGCUUGCGCCGAUCAGUGGAACACCGUCCAGGAAUGCGUCUCCGAAUUCAUUAACUUCGUCACCAGCGAGUAAUUUUCACUUCUCUCUCUUUCUCUCUUUCUGUCUCUACUGUUAUUUACUUUGCUUUUCAAUCGGAUUUUUUGGUGUUGAUUUUGAAUUCUAUAUUUGUGCUGAAUUCCAUUCUGAUCGAAAGAAAUUUAAUACCAGAAAGCUUGGCUCCCGUUCUGAUUUGAAGAAAUUUUUUCUUGGAUUAAACUAGUAGAUUAAUUGUAUUUUGUUGGUUCAAUUAGGGAUGUUUUUGGGGUCUUUUUUUAAGAAUAUAUUGAAUCAGUCUAUUUAUUAUUUACGUUAUUCCAUUGCGACCGUUUGAAGGUGAUCUGAAUUCACCUGUUGUGAUCACAGUUUGUGGUUUUGCACUCCCUGAUGGCAGGUCACUACUCGAAGCUAAAGAGACUUCUUCAGCCCUUGGGGCAGUUGCAUCCGCUGACGGCUCAGCAUUAGCAAAGAAGGAUACAUGCAGAUGUAGCAACAGUUUUGUAAGAGCCAAAGAAACUGUACAUGGGCUUGGGUUAGCGGUUGCUAUUUCAUCCCACAGAUGGAGACGCUAUUGAUACCGAGUAAUCUUCGAAGAAAGUCACCUCUUCAGAGAAGUAAUCUGGUAGCAUUCGUUAAGCACUUUCCAGGGAAUUCUCACGUUGCUUUCAUUAAGUUUUACAUGGCCAUGAUAAGAAGAGAGAACCCAGAAACCUUCAGAGCCGUCAAGAUGUUCCUACCCCGCAGAAGAAAGAACCCAUAAACCAAUUGGAGAGUCAAGUCCUUCCUACCCCGCAAAAGAAAUAACCCAGAAAUUCAUAGAAAUUUGUUUGCUCAUGCCUAUUUCUUCUCAGGUUUAUGGUGGUGCAGUGGUGAUACAGAAGGGAGAUGGAGAGGGAGAAGUGGUUAGUGCUCUAAUUUUCAAGAUUCUUUGAUUCUUAGGGGCAAACAGAGAGUAUUUGUAGUGGGUAUGGGAUCUGGUCUUGGUGGAGCAGCAUCUAGUCAUGAGGUAGAUGAAGAAGCAGCGCUGGUGAGGGAGAUGAUCACAGUAAGAUGAAGGGCUUUAUUGGAAUAAUCACAACCAAGUGAGGGCAUAAUUGGUAAAAGAAGUCCAUUCCCGAUUCCCCUCCAGUCAAGGAAGUCCAAUUCCUCCAAAAUAAGGAGUGGGAUUCCCAAAUUGGUGUGGACCCCACAUGUAUUUUGAUUCUCCAAGAUUACGUAAACAAAGAUGUAUCCCGUAAUCGAAAUCCAAUUCCAUAAAUUGAUUCUGAUUACGGGUACUUAAACGUGCCCUCGAAGCGAAGGAAAAGAAGCAGAAAAAAGUUGCUUCUCCUGCCCUUUCCUGCUCAA